rnacentral:lncRNA from 1 species
UAUACUGAGCCAAAAAAGUUUAGCAACAAAAAUGUGAAAUUUUAUUUGAUUACAAAAUCAUAGCAACAUAUAAUUUUGAUAAUAACAAAAUGGAAUUAUAACAUGUCAUCAGAAAUACCAUGAAUGUUUAUCACUCACAUUCAUGAGGAUUUUCCGAGUUUGUAUGGAGCGCGGGAGGGUCAAAAUGCGGAAAUGAGUAUAGUGUUAUUCAAAAUCAAUUUCCCAGCCGUGCCCUAAGUGUACCAAUGAAGGAUUGGCAGGCACACCAGCAGCUGCCCUUAGUCAAUGCACUACUUUUGUGGCCGGAAAAAAACUUGUCACGUGUUGACGCAAAGCGAAGAUAGCGCUCCUCCCUUGAAAAUAGUUGUUUUGGUCUACGAGAUAUCGACCUAUCCUGUGCAGUUGCAAUUUGUCGAUAUCUGUAUGUUAUUCUCUAAACUGUUGCCUUAUAUACAUUAAAUCGAGCCACGAUGUCAGCAACACUCAUUCCGGCAUCAACCAUUUCAAGAGCUUUCUGACGGUCAUUUUCGGGGAGGCCUGGUUGACGCCCCAUGCAAUUUCUUUAAACGUGUACAUGUGUUUUUCUUACCAAUGGUGUGUUUCUGAACGUAAGUGAAAAAGAAAUUUUUAAUGUCGUUUUAGAAGGUAAAACAUCAAUUACACAUGCAAAGCUGAAAUGGCGCGAAAUCAAUCAUCAGGAAAAAAGUACGACUGUUUUGAAUUACAAGUAAAACUAAGGAUUAUGUCAAUGAUGUUUAAAUAAAAAAUUUCCAGAAAGAACAAAAAAUUAAAAAAAAAAGUGUUGCUAAACUUUUAUGGCUCAGUAUAUUUGCCACUGGGUCCAAACAAUAAUCAAUUAAUUAAUAAUUUUCACUAUAUUUUUUCGCGUAUUGACACAUUCCUUUCUUGUAAAUUUUGACCGAUAUGGUUUUAAUUGUUAACAAAGUUGAAGUUCAUAUGGUUCUGGAAACACAUGCAAACAGAAAAAAACAUAAUGAUAUCAACGGGAAUUUUAUUUAGUUUGCGAGUGGAUCGGUUCAAUUUACAUAUAUAACCUCUAGAAAAAAAAGGUGUUUAAUCAUACAAUUUCCGUGAAUUCGUUUAUAAUAAUUUAAAAUAUGUGUCUGGUUUUCUUUGUGUGGUUUCUACGGUAUUUUUUCCCCUAAAUUAGAUGUACACGAAACAAAUUUGUCAAGUCAUGAUCUAUAAAGUUACCGCAUUAUAUAUAUAUGAAAUAAACAAAUCACGAAAUGCAUGUCUUCUAACCUAUUUUUUAUAUACCAAAUAUAGAUGUAAAUAUGUCACAGUUUAUAAUUUAACUUUUGUUUUUUAAUCAUCAUUUGACUUAUAAUAUUACCUAAAUUUUGAUUUACCAACAUAUGAGAGAUCACUUCUCGCCAAAAUUAAGAAUAAGCAAUUGAAACUGGGAGAUACAUUAAACUUUAGCGACGGAACGAUUCUGCAAAUCUUGCGGAGAUAAAGUAGAAGAUGAAAUGCACUCCUUUAUUUCUUAUCCCCUCUGUAUAGAAAUUAUAUCAUUAUGCAUUGUCAUAAGUUUUCUAGACUACAAGUGUGAGGUUUAGCUAGCUAUAAAACCAGUUUCAAUCCACUUUUCUACAAAAGAAAAUGUCUGUAUCAAGUCAGGAAUAUGACAGUUGUUAUCCAUUCGUUUGUUGUGUUUGAGCUUUUUAUUUUGCAUUUUGAUAGGGGACUUUCCUUUUUGAAUUUUCCUCGGAGUUCAUUUUUUUUGUGAUUUAUUACUUUUUUCUCUUGUUAUUCUAAAUGUUUUAUUUGCAUUUUUUGUCAUAUUGUAUAUGUCAUGUUUGUUUCGUACACUUGGAUUACGUUGUUUCUUAUUAAUAUACGCUCUAUAUCCAAUAAAAUAUUUGACUUAAUUUUCUGCAUAUGUUACAAAAAAGUAGUUUCUGCAUAUGUAACAAAAAGAGUAUUUUCUGCAAAUGUAACAAAAUGAGUAUUUAAAGUUUCUGCAAAUAUAACAAAAAGAGUAGUUUCUGCAAAUGUAACAAAAAGAGUAGUUUUUGCAAAUGUAACAGCAAGAGUAGUUUCUGCAAAUGUAACAAAAAGAGUAGUUUUUGCAAAUGUAACAGAAAGAGUAGUUUCUGCAAAUGUAACAAAAAGA